GUUUAAUUGGAAGGUGCUAUAAGGAGGAAGAAGGGAGGCGCUCGGCAGUGAGAAAAUGGAAGAAAAAUAAGGGAAUUAAAGAGUUUUUGAAGUUAUUUGAUAUUUAAAAUAUUUCGUAGCAGCAAAAUAUUUUACUUCACAAUGGGAGCACAAGAGAGGUCGGAAUUAGCCAGUUUCAGGUAGUGGCAGCGUGGGUUAAGGACAAAGGAGAUAGCAUCUAACGGCAGAGUCGGUAUGGUGUACAGGCAGUUCCGUCAGUCCCCAUCUACUCUGAUAUUUGAGAGGGAUUUUUUCUAUUAUUUUUUACUGUGCCGGGUCAUUCCUCGUGCCUUAUGUUUGUCGGUAGAGGAGUCUGUUUUCUUUUAAUUUUCGUGUGACCACUGUGCUAGCGAAGUACCCGUUAGGGGUGUUCAAAAAAAUCGGUGCACUGCGGAAAUCGGCCAAACCAAACCGAACCAGUCGAUUUUUUUUUUUUUUUUUUUUUUUUUUUGCGGUCCAAAACGAUUUGGUUGUUGUAUAAACCGUACGAUUGUCAGUUUGUA